rnacentral:lncRNA from 1 species
GGUGCAUCCUACUCCAAAUAGUGAACUUGAACCUAUAUAGCCAACAUACACAGCAAGGACCCAUAUGACUAGGGACCAAGAGAACAUGUAGUCAAACUAAGUAGCCUCGCUGUGAACAGCCAAAAAAUCACAAGUCAAAGGAUCAGUCACACCACUGUAGCAUUGAGAAGACCACUGACGAGUAAGUAGACACCAAGUGAUUUCUCAUGUUGGUCA